rnacentral:rRNA from 1 species
ACGGAAGGGGCUAGCGUUGUUCGGAAUUACUGGGCGUAAAGCGCGUGCAGGCGGUCGGACAAGUGAGGCGUGAAAGCCCUGGGCUCAACCUGGGAACUGCGCUUCAGACUGUUCGGCUUGAGUUCGGGAGAGGGUGGUGGAAUUCCCAGUGUAGAGGUGAAAUUCGUAGAUAUUGGGAGGAACACCGGUGGCGAAGGCGGCCGCCUGGCCCGUAACUGACGCUAUAGCGCGAAAGCGUGGGGAGCAAACAG